ensembl:lncRNA LINC00343 long intergenic non-protein coding RNA 343
GAAUUCUACAAAGAGGCUAUGGGAAAGAAACCUGGAAAGUACCCUUGGCUGUGUACAUUUGAGUAAAGAGAGCACUAUAAAAUCAAAAACCAAUGAAAUGGUUUCCAGAACACAGAACUAUUAAGCUUAAGAAAAGGACAGAAGGAACUGAAGAGAGAGGAACUGUUUUGGAGCAUCACACUUCCACCUCAGAAGAAAUAAGGAAGGAAGGAGGAGGGUGUUCCCACGGCUCUUCAACCAGGCCGGCUCUUCAGCCUACAUCCCCAUCUCAUCAAGUAAAAGGGAUUUUUCAACUGGACCAACCAGAUGGUUUAACAGUGCACUCCCACACCAUUCAACUACGCAAGGGAGAUACACUUAACAUAUGCAGUCGUAUAACACCUACUAACAUUUUCAAACAUUAAACCUUUAAAAAAGAGUUCUAAAGAAAUAGAAGCUUGAAGUAUCAUCUCUCAAGUAUAUAGACACUACUUCAUGGUGUGGUAAUAUAUGCAUAUAGAAGCUAGUAAACACCUCCAGGAGAUGCAAAAGGAAUUAGAACUGCCACAAGGUGCAAGCAAAACCUUGAGGUAAUCAAUCUGCAUCCCAUUUUGGAUGAGAAUAUUUGCAACUUUGAAGGUUAUUUUAAGGACAGCAGCAGAAGAAUUAUGGCAGGUAUCUGAAAUUCAUUUCUGUGCUUUGCCGAGGACCCAUGGGAUGCCAUUUGCAGAUGAGAAAACUAAAGAAUAGCUUUAUCUUCCAGCUCUUCACGGAAAAAAAAAUGGCAACAAUAAAAUCAGCAACUCCUGCCAAAUAAAUGGGCAUAAAAAAGAAAUCAUAGACUGCUGGCAAUGGUGGGGAAAAAGUUAUAAAAAUUGUCUCUGCACCAUCUUCCUUUUGUCCUCUAAAAUAUUCACAUUAGCAAAAGUAUAUAACAGCUGAUGAAGAAAUACUGAUAAUUUGUCUUUGGGACUAGCUUCAGUAUUUUGGCUUCUUUUUGCUUCUUUGCAACAAAUUGGGAGACAAAGCUUCUUUAAAAUAUGAAGACUUCGAAGUUAUUUAUCCAAACCAACCUGAUCAUUUCUUAAGAGUGAAUAUACCUUGGAAGACGUGUCCUGCCUUUAGUAGCGUCACAAUGGAUUACAUCCUCUAUAAAGCAGUCUGGGGUGAGAAAAUCGAAUUUGGACACCGUUGAGGAGACUAUUGCAGUCAUCCAAGCUCAAGAUGGUGGAGCUUCAUCCUUGAGAAUAACCAAUGGGGAUAGAUUUAAGAGACACUUAGAGUCUGCAGCCAACAGGGCUGAAUGAGCAGAGAGUUAUGAUUCAGAAGAUCAUCUAAAAUUGAACAGCUGCCACUACUGGCAAUAAGUCUACUGCCAUUUGGUAGAUAACCUUCUUAUCACACAGAAAAAUAUCAGUACAGACAAAUAGACCGCAAAGAAAAUGAGACCAUCAGCAAAGAAGAUAAAGAAGUUUGUACAAAGCAACUUUUUAUAAAUGGAUGGCUGUCAGGCAAAAAUAAAUUUCCUGUGGACAAGACCAAGAGCAAGGCAAGAGGAAAAUAAACAUGUUUAAACUA